UUUUUUCUUUUUUUAGCAGUGGGAGCGGAGAAAGAACAAAGAAAUCUGUAAUUGGUCGUGGACUUUGUAUUUGGCGUGUGGCCCCGCCCUACCCACUUCUGAUUGGUCCUCAGCUCCAGGCGUCCAUUUUCAUUGGAGCAUGGGAACCUACAAGGCCCGGAUCAACACCUGGCUGGGACAGGAGACCACCAGGGCAGUGCACAGCUGGGAUUUCAGUCUCCCGUGUCAUCUCCUGGGUCCACUGGCUCCACUGAGGGCGGCUAGACUCUGCAGCCAGGCGUCCUGGAUUCAACUCCCUGCCUGGGUCUCACCAGCACUUUCCCUCUUGGUGCCUCAGUUUCCUCAUCUAUGAAAUGGGGAAAUUAACAGUAUUUAUUUCUUGUGGUUGAAUGAAUGAUAAGCGUUACCAUAUAUGAGGUGUUUGCAGCUGUGCCAUGUUAUUUUUGUUAUUUUGUUAUUAUAUUUUAAUAUAUCACAUGUGCAGUAAUUGUAUUAUUAUAGAUGAGCUUUAUGAGUGAGUGUCCUGGUGACGGUUCCUCCUGGGGAGCCAGGACCAGCUUUUCUGGAACCUUGAGGUCCCCUCAUCCCUGUUCCACUCUCCUGCAUUACCCUAUUCUACUCUGUCUUCAUAUUUUAUACUAUAGAUAUUUAACGUUUAAAUAGA